CAAGGCGCUAACAGUCCACGAUGAGUUGCAUCAAGAGGAGCACUGCACGCAGGUCAGGAACGAAGACAGUAAAAAUGAGAAUGGUAAAGAUGAGACUGGGGAGAGCCACAGCACUGGCUCUGUUAGAUCUAUAACCAGGGACAUAGAGAAGCCUUGGGUGAGAACAGACAAAGUGGGACAAGAGGUCCCUUUUGAAAAUGAAGACCAAUCUUAUGCAAGUCUGCUGGCAGCAUCUCAUCCACAGGACAGCCUUAGUAACCUGAUUUACCAUGCGUCUCCACUGGAGUCUAUAAAAGAAUUGGAUGAGAUGGAUGGAAGGGAAGAACAAGUGUCUGAACUAGAGAGGAGCCCUGGAGAUGGGGCUGUUAAAAUCAAACAGCAGGACACUGAUGAUGGCUUCCCACUACAAUCUGAGAAGGAAAGGUGUGAGGUACAAGCUGGAUCAAAUCCUGGAGCUGUUCUCAUAGGGCAAUCAGUCUUUGAGGAUACCUUGGAGUCUACAAUCAUGCGUGACGAAAAUGAGCCUCUGGACCCAACAGGUAAAGAUUUGUUGCAGGUCACUCCUAAUGGUGAGCAUCACCAGAAGGAAUCACACAAGGCUCUUGUGCUGGCAGACGACAGGUGGGAGCGAGUGUCUUCACGUGCAUCUGACGAUAGAGAAAUUCAACAGGAACCGAAAGAGCACCACCAGUCAACAGAACAAUGUGGCAAAGAUGACAGAGAUGGUGUCAUGGAAUGUAAAGGAGAUCGACUUAGUCCUUCAGAGCCUUCUAUUCAGGAGCUGCAGGACCCUGAAUUGAAGCACGAAUCUUACCAGAGUGAAAAUAACAGACUGUGCAAUAAGGUGAAGGAUUCCAAAAUGAGAAUAAGAGAACUGGAGAAUGAGCUGUGCACAGAGAAGAGGAAAUCUGAGAGCCAUGCACACAGGAUCAGAGAACUGGAAAUGGAAAUGUCCAACAGCUCCCUAAUUGGCGUUCUGACCGAAUGCAAGACAAAGGUGGAGCAAUUGGAGGAGCUCAGAUAUUCAUCACGUGAACUGAUGAUCCAACUGCAGGAGGCAAACAGGAUUGCAGCGUGCCUGAAACAGAGGAUUUUCCACCUGGAGGAGGAGAGGAUGUUGAAGCAGCAGCAGCUUGUGAAUCUGGGAGAAGAACUCGAGGGUUCCAGGAAAGCUCUGGAGCAGAAGAACAGGGAGAUGGUCAAGGUCAAGGUGCAGGUCCAAGCCCUCAACGAAGAGCUCGAGAGGACACAAGACAAAAAGCUUUGUCCAGCAGAAUGCCUUUCCAACGGUCACACUGUUAAUCAGCCUCACAGACGAUCAAGAAAUGAUACUAAUGACUCCAAGGUUUGUGCACUCUUGUGAUAGCAGUUAAAACUAGAAAGGACAUCACAGAAUGAACUUUUUCCCCCGAGUGAAGUAAUUAGUUUGUAAAAGUGAAGUAAAAUUGAGGUGUGGGAGACAUGAGACAACUGUAAAGUGUGGCAAUAUCAACAAAGGUUCAUAUGUUGCACAUGAGGGAACAUUUCACAAUUGUGCCAUCUUUGGCAAACACCAGAACAUUUUUUGCUUAACACAAAUAUUCAUUUUAGAGUGCCAUUAUUUCAAAUACAAAUUUGGUUCAUUUGCAUAAUUUACUUGCUGCACAUAGAAAUACCUAAGAUUACUGGUCAAACCAAAA
ensembl:lincRNA